CGCGUAGGCGGUUUUACAAGUCAGAUGUGAAAGCCCAUGGCUCAACCAUGGACGUGCAUUUGAAACUGUAAGACUUGAGUAUUGGAGGGGGUGGUGGAAUUCCCGGUGUAGAGGUGAAAUUCGUAGAUAUCGGGAGGAAUACCAGUGGCGAAGGCGACCACCUGGCCAAAUACUGACGCUCAUGUGCGAAAGCGUGGGGAGCAAACA
rnacentral:rRNA from 1 species